AGAGUUUGAUCCUGGCUCAGAUUGAACGCUGGCGGAAUGCUUUACACAUGCAAGUCGAACGGCAGCACGGGAGCUUGCUCCUGGUGGCGAGUGGCGAACGGGUGAGUAACGCGUCGGAACGUACCGAGUAAUGGGGGAUAACGCAGCGAARGKUGUGCUAAUACCGCAUACGCCCUGAGGGGGAAAGUGGGGGAUCGCAAGACCUCACGUUAUUCGAGCGGCCGACGUCUGAUUAGCUUGUUGGUGGGGUAAUGGCCUACCAAGGCGACGAUCAGUAGCGGGUCUGAGAGGAUGAUCCGCCACACUGGAACUGAGACACGGUCCAGACUCCUACGGGAGGCAGCAGUGGGGAAUUUUGGACAAUGGGGGCAACCCUGAUCCAGCCAUUCCGCGUGAGUGAAGAAGGCCUUCGGGUUGUAAAGCUCUUUCAGCCGGAACGAAACGGUAUGUCUUAAUACGAUGUGCUAAUGACGGUACCGGCAGAAGAAGCACCGGCUAACUACGUGCCAGCAGCCGCGGUAAUAC
rnacentral:rRNA from 1 species